rnacentral:rRNA from 1 species
GAUCCUGGCUCAGGAUGAACGCUAGCGACAGGCUUAACACAUGCAAGUCGAGGGGCAUCAUGAGGUAGCAAUACCUUGAUGGCGACCGGCGCACGGGUGAGUAACGCGUAUGCAACCUGCCUGAUACCGGGGUAUAGCCCAUGGAAACGUGGAUUAACACCCCAUAGUACUUUUAUCCUGCCUGGGAUGGGAGUUAAAUGUUCAAGGUAUCGGAUGGGCAUGCGUCCUAUUAGUUAGUUGGG